AUUGAACGCUGGCGGCAGGCCUAACACAUGCAAGUCGAACGGUAGCACAGAGAGCUUGCUCUCGGGUGACGAGUGGCGGACGGGUGAGUAAUGUCUGGGAAACUGCCCGAUGGAGGGGGAUAACUACUGGAAACGGUAGCUAAUACCGCAUAACGUCGCAAGACCAAAGUGGGGGACCUUCGGGCCUCACACCAUCGGAUGUGCCCAGAUGGGAUUAGCUAGUAGGGGGGGUAAUGGCUCACCUUGGCGACGAUCCCUGGCUGGUCUGAGAGGAUGACCAGCCACAGUGGAACUGAGACACGGUCCAGACUCCUGCGGGAGGCAGCAGUGGGGAAUAUUGCACAGUGGGCGCAAGCGUGAUGCAGCCAUGCCGCGUGUAUGAAGAAGGCCUUCGGGUUGUAAAGUACUUUCAGCGGGGAGGAAGGCGGUGAAGUUAAUAGCUUCACCGAUUGACGUUACCCGCAGAAGAAGCACCGGCUAACUCCGUGCCAGCAGCCGCAGUAA
rnacentral:rRNA from 1 species